rnacentral:rRNA from 1 species
GACGAACGCUGGCGGCGUGCCUAAUACAUGCAAGUCGAGCGAAGUUUUUCUGGUGCUUGCACCGGAAAAACUUAGCGGCGAACGGGUGAGUAACACGUAAAGAACCUGCCUCAUAGACUGGGACAACUAUUGGAAACGAUAGCUAAUACCGGAUAACCGCAUUAACUGCAUGGUUGAUGAUUAAAAGUUGGUUAUGCUAACACUAUGAGAUGGCUUUGCGGUGCAUUAGCUAGUUGGUGGGGUAAAGGCCUACCAAGGCGACGAUGCAUAGCCGACCUGAGAGGGUGAUCGGCCACACUGGGACUGAGACACGGCCCAGACUCCUACGGGAGGCAGCAGUAGGGAAUCUUCCGCAAUGGGCGAAAGCCUGACGGAGCAACGCCGCGUGAGUGAAGAAGGAUUUCGGUUCGUAAAGCUCUGUUGUUAGGGAAGAAUGAUUGUGUAGUAACUAUACACAG